UACGAAGGGGACUAGCGUUGUUCGGAAUCACUGGGCGUAAAGCGCACGUAGGCGGAUAUGUCAGUCAGGGGUGAAAUCCCGGGGGCUCAACCUCGGAACUGCCUUUGAUACAGCAUGUCUUGAGUCCGAUAGAGGUGGGUGGAAUUCCUAGUGUAGAGGUGAAAUUCGUAGAUAUUAGGAAGAACACCGGUGGCGAAGGCGGCCCACUGGAUCGGUACUGACGCUGAGGUGCGAAAGCGUGGGGAGCAAACAGG
rnacentral:rRNA from 1 species